GGCGCAAUUCGGAACCGUAGUAGCGGAUUUCUACUCCGCGGGUUGCAGGUUCGAAUCCUGCCGGGAUCGCCA
rnacentral:tRNA from 1 species